GUAAAUAACAUGGCAGAUACGUCAUCAUAAAUUGUCCACAACUAUUUUUCCAUUUUAUAGUCAAUUAAGGAAGUGUGCAAAGUGAGCAUGUGUGAAAGAGCAUGGAGUAUAAUCAGAGAGAUAAAAUUCCUGAAUGAGGGCCCCAUGUAAUGGUGUGAGCACUGGGUCACAAAAAGCCAUAUGACCCCAAAAGCUGCAAGGUGAAAGUGGAAAGGAAGAUAAAGGAGAAGAAAUGCUCAAAACAUAACAUGCUCAUUGACUGAGUGAGGUCAGGCCUGACAGGAAAAUAUUUGGCCUUUGGUAAUGAUGCACACAAGACUCUUCAUACCUAUGUUAUCAACUUGAGUGCAAUGCAAUGCUGAACCUUCAAAAGUAGUACUACACCUUCAUCUUACAAAUUCUCUUGCAAUAGUUUAAAAGAG